rnacentral:rRNA from 1 species
CCUGGUGGUUCUUGCGAGGAGCCUCUACCCGAUCCCAUUCCGAACUCGGCCGUCAAACUCCUCAGCGCCAAUGGUACUUUGUCUCAAGACACGGGAGAGUAGGUCGCUGCCAGGC